rnacentral:tRNA from 1 species
GUCCUUUUCGUCUAGCCGGUUAGGACACCGCCCUUUCACGGCGGCAACACGGGUUCAAAUCCCGUAAAGGAUA